rnacentral:rRNA from 1 species
UGUAAGCGUAUACCAAAGUUGUUGCAGUUAAAACGCUCGUAGUCGGACUUUGGCAGUUCCGGAUGUGUGCACGUCGUGUGCGCACUUCGCGGGGAUUGCUUUUGUGGUCUUGCGUAGGAUGAGGCACUUUUAUUAGUGAACGUCCUCACGCAACCACUUUUUACUGUGAGAAAAUCAGAGUGCUCAAAGCAGGCAUUUGCCGUGAAUGUAUUAGCAUGGAAUAAUAGAAUAGGACUUGGUUCUAUUUUGUCGGUUUGUUGGGACUGAGUAAUGAUUAAGAGGGACAGUUGGGGGCAUUUGUAUUUCGGUGCUAGAGGUGAAAUUCUUAGAUUACCGAAAGACAAACUGCUGCGAAAGCGUCUGCCAAGGAUGUUUUCAUUGA